UACGUAGGGCGCAAGCGUUGUCCGGAAUUAUUGAGCGUAAAGAGCUCGUAGGCGGUUUGUCGCGUCUGCUGUGAAAACCUAAGGCUCAACCUUGGGCUUGCAGUGGGUACGGGCAGACUAGAGUGCGGUAGGGGUGACUGGAAUUCCUGGUGUAGCGGUGGAAUGCGCAGAUAUCAGGAGGAACACCGAUGGCGAAGGCAGGUCACUGGGCCGCAACUGACGCUGAGGAGCGAAAGCAUGGGGAGCGAACAGG
rnacentral:rRNA from 1 species